AUACAUCGGAUGACUGAAUCAAGAAUAGCAUCAACUAUUAUAUGUACUCCCUUCAUCUAACCUAAUUCUAGUUCGGACUCGAGAGUAGGAGGCUUAUGUUAUGGACAAAAAAAAUUUUUCUUGAUAAAGUUAGUGUACAGGGAAGCUAGGGCAGGUCUAAUCUUGAUGCUAGCCGAUCAAAGGUACUUGAGCCAAACUUAUCUGGUAU
rnacentral:lncRNA from 1 species